rnacentral:rRNA from 1 species
GAUGAACGCUGGCGGCGUGCCUAACACAUGCAAGUCGAACGACAACACGGUGAGCUUUUGCUCUUACCGGUGGCGGCUGGCGGGCGAGUAACGCGUGCAUCAGCUUCUUCUAUUUCGGGGAGAAUAACGUAAGACCGCUUACGAUACUACCGCAUAUGACCUACCGGUGGGUUCAGUAGAUCUUCACGGCUUUCGCGUCUCUAUUAGCUGAUUCCGCGUCGGAUUGGCUAGUUGGUAGGGUAACGGCAUACCAAGGCGACGAUGCGUAGCCGAACUGAGAGGAUGAUCAGCCACACUGGAACUGAGACACGGUCCAGACUCCUACGGGAGGCAGCAGUGGGGAAUAUUGGGCAAUGGGCGCAAGCCUGACGCAGCCACGCCGCGUGGGUGAAGAAGGCCUUCGGGUCGUAAAGCCCUUUUGUUGGGAAAGAAAAGCUGUAGGUUAAAACCUGGCUGUCUUGACGGUACCCAAAGAAUAAGCACCGGCUAACUUCGUG